AGAAAUGUGGCUUCUAGAAUGUGUGCAGCCUUGUGGGAGAUUCCUGUAGAGUGGGCAGCCCCUUCUUAUCCUUUGCAGCCUGUUCCAGUGCUUCUCUAACAAGGAGGAUGUGUGGAUGUCUCCUAGGGAGGAGAAAGUGGGACAGGAAAGGUGGGAGCUUCUUGCUCUUGGGAACAACUAGCGGCGGGAACCAAGGCCAGAAACCUGGACAACCUCACUUCCAGUCACCCAGGCUGGGCCUUGGGACCAGUUUCCAGAAUGUCGGGUCACCCUGCGGCAUUCCCG
rnacentral:lncRNA from 1 species